rnacentral:rRNA from 1 species
GUGGGGAAUCUUGCGCAAUGGGCGAAAGCCUGACGCAGCAACGCCGCGUGCGGGAUGAAGGCCUUCGGGUUGUAAACCGCUUUCAGCAGGGAAGAAAUUGACGGUACCUGCAGAAGAAGCCCCGGCCAACUACGUGCCAGCAGCCGCGGUAACACGUAGGGGGCGAGCGUUGUCCGGAUUUAUUGGGCGUAAAGAGCUCGUAGGCGGUUCGCUAAGUCGGGUGUGAAACCUCCAGGCUCAACCUGGAGACGCCACCUGAUACUGGUGUGACUAGAGUCCGGUAGGGGAGGGUGGAACUCCUGGUGUAGCGGUGAAAUGCGCAGAGAUCAGGAAGAACACCAGGGGCGAAGGCGGCACUCUGGGCCGGUACUGACGCUGAGGAGCGAAAGCGUGGGUAGCAAACAGGAUUAGAAACCCUUGUAGUCC